rnacentral:rRNA from 1 species
CAUUAAAAUAAAAGAGUAAUACUAUUAAGGAAACUCAUGUUUUUUGGCGGCCUCUUAUCUAAUUAGAGGAACUUGUAAAUUAACCGAUAUCUCACGUUCAUUUUCACUUUUUUUACGUUUUUAUACCGCCGUUCACGAAACUUAUUAUAAUUUUUUUCUCAAAAAAUUUCACUUAACACAUCAGGUCAAGGUGAAGCUAAUAAAAAAGAUUUUAUGAGUUACUUAUAAAAAAAAUUUAAAGAAAUACGUUUAACAACCUUUUGAAUUAGAAUCUAAUAGUAAUUAAUAAAUAAAAAUUUUUAAUGAAUUAUAAAAUAGGUG